rnacentral:rRNA from 1 species
UACGUAGGGCGCAAGCGUUGUCCGGAAUUAUUGGGCGUAAAGAGCUCGUAGGCGGUCUGUCGCGUCGGUUGUGAAAACCCAAGGCUCAACCUUGGGCCUGCAAUCGAUACGGGCAGACUAGAGUACUGCAGGGGAGACUGGAAUUCCUGGUGUAGCGGUGGAAUGCGCAGAUAUCAGGAGGAACACCAAUGGCGAAGGCAGAUCUCUGGGCCGUAACUGACGCUGGAGGAGCGGAAAGCAUGGGGAGCGAACGGG